CCGGCCGUAAAAAAACUUAUUUCUAUGCUUAUUAAAGAAGCUCACGCCAAAGGACUUAAAGUUGGCAUUUGCGGCCAGGGCCCUUCUGACUUCCCGGACUUCGGCGAAUUUUUGGUCAAAGAAGGCAUAGACAGCAUUUCCAUAAACCCGGACACAGUCAUAAAAGCGAAUUU
rnacentral:misc_RNA from 1 species